AAUCUUAUAUUUUAUGAAAAAAUAUUAAAUUGCAAGUUUAAAGAAGAAAAUAUCUAAGAUUU
rnacentral:tRNA from 1 species